rnacentral:lncRNA from 1 species
UGAGGGUGGGGGUGUGGGUGGGGAUGGGGGUGAGGAUGGGGAUAAGGGUGCACUGGAGGUGGGGGAGAUGGGUAUUUGUAGGGCUUCUUGGGAGGAGGAGGUGGUGAGUGGUAGUAGUAAGGCUUCUUCGGAGGAGGUGGCGGUGGAGAGUGGUAGUAGUAUGGUUUCUUCUUCGGUGGAGGUGGGGGUGGUGAGUGGUAGUAAUAUGGUUUGGGUGGAGGUGGUGAAGGUGGCGGGGGAGAAUGGUAGUAGUAAGGCUUAGGUGGAGGUGGUGAGGGUGGUGGGGGAGAAUGGUAGUAGUACGGCUUAGGUGGAGGAGGUGAAGGUGGUGGGGGAGAGUGAUAGUAGUAUGGCUUCUUCUUGGGUGGGGGUGGUGGUGGUGAGUGAUAGUAGUACGGCUUAGGUGGAGGUGGUGAAGGAGGUGGUGGUGAGUGAUAAUAGUAUGGCUUAGGUGGAGGUGGUGAAGGAGGUGGUGGUGAGUGAUAGUAGUAUGGCUUAGGUGGAGGUGGUGAAGGUGGUGGUGGAGAGUGGUAGUAGUAUGGCUUCUUUUUGGGUGGUGGUGGUGGUGGUGAGUGGUAGUAGUAUGGCUUAGGUGGAGGUGGGGAAGGUGGUGGAGGAGAAUGGUAGUAAUAUGGCUUGGGUGGAGGAGGUGAAGGUGGUGGUGGAGAGUGGUAGUAGUAUGGUUUUUUUGGUGGAGGUGGUGAAGGAGGAGGAGGAGAGUGAUAAUAAUAGGGUUUCUUAGGUGGUGGAGGUGAUGAGUACAAGUAGUUAUCAGCUGAGAUUUGAGAAGGGAAGGUUAAAGACAGUAAUGAGAAUAGCAGAGUAA